rnacentral:rRNA from 1 species
ACAACCGAGGUGCAAAGGCUGUCGCUGACCCUCAAAGGUUGUGCACGCCCGAGCGCUCUCACACAAUCCAUCUCACCUUUGUGCAUCGNCGCGUGGGUCCCCUUUGCGGGAGGGCUCGCGUUUUCACAUAAUAACUCGAUACAGUGUAGAAUGUUUCUUUUGCGGUCACACGCAAUCAAUACAACUUUCAACAACGGAUCUCUUGGCUCUCGCAUCGAUGAAGAACGCAGCGAAAUGCGAUACGUAAUGUGAAUUGCAGAAUUCAGUGAAUCAUCGAAUCUUUGAACGCACCUUGCGCCCCUUGGCAUUCCGAGGGGCACACCCGUUUGAGUGUCGUGAAUUCUUCAAAACCCUUUUUUCUUCGAACCAUCGUGGUCGGGAAAAGGAUUUUUGGACUUGGAGGUUUAAUGCUCGCCCUUUCUUUUGAAAGCGAGCUCCUCUCAAAUGAAUUAGUGGGGUCCGCUUUGCUGAUCCUUGACGUGAUAAAAUGUUUCUACGUUUUGGGUUUAGCACUGUCGCUUGNAUGCCUGCUCCUAACCCGUCUCAUUGACAAUGAUGGUGCUCUGGUCACUGCCGUCUACAUCGGCGGGAGGCUGGACCCACAAAAAGAAAAACCUUGA